GACGAACGCUGGCGGCGUGCUUAACACAUGCAAGUCGUACGGUAAGGCCCUUUCGGGGGUUCACGAGUGGCGAACGGGUGAGUAACACGUGAGUAACCUUCCCACAACUUUGGGAUAACGCUAGGAAACUGGUGCUAAUACUGGAUAUGUGCUCCUGCUGCAUGGUGGGGGUUGGAAAGCUCCGGCGGUUGUGGAUGGACUCGCGGCCUAUCAGCUUGUUGGUGGGGUAGUGGCCUACCAAGGCGGCGACGGGUAGCCGGACUGAGAGGGUGACCGGCCACAUUGGGACUGAGAGACGGCCCAGGUUCCUACGGGAGGCAGCAGUGGGGAAUAUUGCACAAUGGGCGCAAGCCGGAUGCAGCAACGCCGCGGGCGGGAUGACGGCCUUCGGGUUGUAAAACGCUUUCAGCAGGGACGAAGCUUUUUGUGACGGUACCUGCAGAAGAAGCACCGGCUAACUACGUG
rnacentral:rRNA from 1 species